GCUGCGGUGGCGGAGUGGACAAUCGCACCAGACUGUAAAUCUGGCGCCCGAACGGGCUACGCAGGUUCGAAUCCUGCCUGCAGCACAA
rnacentral:tRNA from 2 species